rnacentral:tRNA from 1 species
GGAAGCGUGGCCGAGUGGUUGAAGGCGCACGACUCGAAAUCGUGUAGGGCCGCAAGGCUCUCGGAGGUUCGAAUCCCCUCGCUUCCGCCA